CAGACUGGUCUCAUAGCUAUGACAGGGAAGCCAGCUUGGCCUUGAGUCUUGGUUAAACUCCAGAGUUGAGCUCUCAUCACUUAUUCAGACCAAGGCAGAUAUUACACAUCCCGUCGGACUUCCCAGGUUGUCAACAGCAGCAUUUACUAUAGGCAGUUAUUUAUCUCCAGCUUCUCCUUCUGUCCGGUGUUGGCUCUUCUUUCACAUCCUCACAGCCUACUGGCUGGCCUUAUUCCUGCCGCCGUGCGUUCAUUCUCCUGAAUCUGCGUUAGGCUCUGUGCUACGUGUGCACCAAGGAGGCAAAGAGAAGUCCAAUACAGCCUCUGCCUUUGAAGACAGUCUUCAUAUUUUUAGUAAAGAUGAGCCUUGGAUUUUGUCCAUCACUUGAAAACUAUAGCUCAUAUUUCCUAGUGAGAGCCAACUGAACACUGAAUCUGCUUCCAGCACUUUCCUCCCCUUUCUUGCCCCCACAUUAAGAAAUACUGGGAGCAGGGGAGAGGUGGGAGUGAGUAUGUACUUCAGGGGUCCCUCUCCCUGAGCUCUGAAGUGUCUCUUCUGGCUGAGUGUUGGAAAGCAUGCAGGUUUUAAAUAUUAGUCAAGAUGUAAAUCAUACACUGUUUUAGAAAUUUUCUAAGUGGGCAAUUUCUGACUCAUUAAAUCAGCU